rnacentral:rRNA from 1 species
AUUGAACGCUGGCGGCAGGCCUAACACAUGCAAGUCGAGCGGAGCGGCGGACGGGCGAGUAAUGCCUAGGAAUCUGCCUGGUAGUGGGGGAUAACGUCCGGAAACGGGCGCUAAUACCGCAUACUAUCAGAUGAGCCUUGGGCGGAUUAGCUAGUGGGGGGGGUAAAGGCCUACCAAGGAGACGAUCCGUAACUGGUCUGAGAGGAUGAUCAGUCAAACGUGAACUGAGACACGGUCCAGACUCCUACGGGAGGCACCGUUGGGGAAUAUUGGACAAUGGGCGAGAGCCUGAUCCAGCCAUGCCGCUUGUGUAAAGAAGGUCUUCGGUUUGUAAAGCACUUUAAGUUGGGAGGCGUUACCAACAGAAUAGGCACCGGCUAACUUCGUGCCAGCAGCCGCGGUAAUUC